GGAAGGGUGUAGUUCAGUGGUGGAACAUUUGAUUUGCAGCCAGAAUGUCCCACGUUCAAUCCUUGCCACCUCCU